rnacentral:rRNA from 1 species
CUACGGGAGGCACCAGUGGGGAAUAUUGCACAAUGGGCGCAAGCCUGAUGCAGCAACGCCGCGUGAACGAUGAAGGUCUUCGGAUCGUAAAGUUCUUUUCUUGGGGAAGAAAAAUGACGGUACCUAAGGAAUAAGCACCGGCUAAAUACGUGCCAGCAGCCGCGGUAAUACGUAUGGUGCAAGCGUUAUCCGGAAUCACGGGGCGUAAAGGGAGCGUAGGCGGUUUUGCAAGUCAGAAGUGAAAGGCUACGGCUCAACCGUGGUAAGCUUUUGAAACUGCAAGACUAGAGUGCAGGAGAGGCAAGUGGAAUUCCUAGUGUAGAGGUGAAAUUCGUAGAUAUUAGGAGGAACACCAGUGGCGAAGGCGACUUGCUGGACUGUAACUGACGCUGAGGCUCGAAAGCGUGGGGAGCGAACAGGAUUAGAUACCCCUGUAGUC